rnacentral:rRNA from 1 species
UAGGGAAUCUUCGGCAAUGGACGAAAGUCUGACCGAGCAACGCCGCGUGAGUGAAGAAGGUUUUCGGAUCGUAAAACUCUGUUGUUAGAGAAGAACAAGGACGUUAGUAACUGAACGUCCCCUGACGGUAUCUAACCAGAAAGCCACGGCUAACUACGUGCCAGCAGCCGCGGUAAUACGUAGGUGGCAAGCGUUGUCCGGAUUUAUUGGGCGUAAAGCGAGCGCAGGCGGUUUCUUAAGUCUGAUGUGAAAGCCCCCGGCUCAACCGGGGAGGGUCAUUGGAAACUGGGAGACUUGAGUGCAGAAGAGGAGAGUGGAAUUCCAUGUGUAGCGGUGAAAUGCGUAGAUAUAUGGAGGAACACCAGUGGCGAAGGCGGCUCUCUGGUCUGUAACUGACGCUGAGGCUCGAAAGCGUGGGGAUCAAACA